rnacentral:misc_RNA from 1 species
GGCAUCACAACAGGGCCAACAAUCCAUCCAUUCUCUAUGCAAUCUCAAGCUCCUCAGCUAAUAGACCUCUCCCAUCUCCACAACCAGCAGCACCUAUCCCAACCAAAUGUUGUCUCCACGGGCCUCCGUUUAUCUUUCGGCGACCAACAACAAAUGCAACAAAACCACCAUUAUCAGCAGCAGCAACAGCAGCAACAACAGCAACAGAGUUUUGUAUCCCAAUCAUCUCCUUUCUUGUGCUUAUUAUCAGAAGAUUUUGCCACCCAAAUUAAACGCCAAAGAGAUGAGAUAGACCAAUUCCUUCAAGCUCAGGGAGAGCAUUUGAGGCGCACAUUAGCCGAUAAGAGGAAGAUGCACUAUCGUGCGCUGCUGAGCGUAGCGGAGGAAUCAAUAACCAGGCGAUUGAAGGAGAAAGAAGCUGAAGUCGAAAAAGCCACUCGACGUAACGCCGAAUUAGAGGCACGCGCCGCCCAACUCAGCGUGGAGGCACAGGUUUGGCAGGCAAAGGCUAGGGCACAAGAGGCUACGGCUGCAUCGCUGCAGGCGCAACUGCAGCAGGCGAUAAUGAGCGGAGGAGUGGCGGCGCAAGAUAACAGGAGAGGAGACGACGGCGGGCUAGGAUGCUCUGGGGGAGUAGAGGGGCAGGCGGAGGAUGCGGAGUCCGCUUACGUUGAUCCCGAGAGGGUGAUAGUGACAGCAGGUCCGAGUUGCAAGGGGUGCCAGAAACGGGCGGCAACGGUGGUGCUGCUGCCGUGUCGGCAUCUGUGUCUCUGUACAGAAUGUGACCAAGUAGUUCAAGCUUGCCCACUUUGCCUCCAAGUAAGAAAUUCCAGUGUAGAGGUUUUUCUGUAUUAGCCCAAUGCAGUAGGCCCGGGCCCAUUAAGAAGCCCAGCCCAUAUGGGAUUGAAAGUUUUUACAAGGAAAAGAAAAAAAAAGGAAAAAUAAAAAAAAUAAAUAAUUCUGAGUAAAAUAAUACUGAAAGACUUUUUUGAAUUUUUUUAAAAAUCCUUUUUGGUUCCCCUCUUGGAGUUAAGUACCUGGAGGUAAUGUACAUGGCCAUAUGGGUAUUGGCAUUUUUUUUUUAAUUUAAUUUAUAUAUAAAUUCUUUUAUGUUAAAAAUUAUUUGUUUUUUUAUUUUCCUUUUCUUCUUGUUUUAUAAUGCAAAUAAUAGAAAUUGUGUUUCUAAAUUGGUUAAAUGCAAAUCAUUCAUAUGCAAGCCUAUUAAACAAAGGCAAAAAGUUC